rnacentral:lncRNA from 1 species
CUCAGCCUCCCGAGUAGCUGGGAUUACACGCAUGUGCCAACACGCCCAGCUAAUUUUUGUAUUUUUAGUAGAGACGGGGUUUCAUCAUGUUAGCCAGGCUGGUCUCGAACUCCCAACCUCAGGUGAUCUGCCCACCUUGGGAUUUGCCUCCCAAAGUGUUGGGAUUAUAGGCGUGAGCCAGUACGCCCAGCCUAACAAAUUCUAAAAGAGCUGUAACACUGACAGUCUCUUCAUGGUCCCAGUUAUUUCCAAAAGGGCACGUUCUGCUCUGGUUCCUUCUGGUGGGUUAGCAACAGGGCAGAUCCACUAGAAUACAGCUCUCAAAAUCUACUGCACAUGGACUCACCCAAAGUGCUUUACAAAAAUCCUGAUCCCAGGCCACAUUCCAGAUCACUUACAUUUGAACCUCAGGUCCAAACUCAGGCAUCAGCAUUUAAAACAUUCCUCAGGUGACUCCCAACAUGCAGCUGAUUUGCCAGCCAGCCCUCUGCAGUCUGGAUCAAAGGUUCUCAACAUGAGGUCCCUGAACCAGCGGCUGCUUUGCUAAGAACUGGGAACUUGUGGGAAAGGCAGCGUCUCAGACCCCACCCCAGAUCUACUGAAUCAGAAACUCUGGGGGUGGGGCCAGCACUUUGUUUCAACAAGCCCUCCAGGAGACUCUGAGGCACUAGUCUGGUCCAGUGGGUCUCAAACUUGACUGCAACAAAUGGCCCAGAGAUCUUUUUGAAGUGUAGAGUCUGACUCAGCAGGUGUGGGUGGAGCUGAGAGGCCAGCAAGAUCCCAGGUGGGGCCGAGGCUGCUCAUCCUCCUACCACAUUUUGAGUAGCAAGGAGCUACCAAGAGCAGCCGACGGGGUUUCAUUCUCGUCUACUGGAAGCAACCUUAAUAGACAACUGAAAAACAAAACAAAACAACUGAGAUACCUGUUUCUGCCAGAAAACCCAGGCCAUUCACUGGUCAGCUGUUCCAAAACCAGAGUUAAGCUACUGCAGCUGUUCCCGCGUGCCUGCCUGCAUUCCAGUAAAUAAUCCCACGUGGCAAGUCAGCUCACCUGGUUACUGCCAAAGCAUGUUCCCAGCUGGUGUGACUCAGAGGCACACCAGAAUUUCUUUAUUAUAAUUUGGCGAUAGGGUCUUGCUUUGCCACGCAGGCUGGAGUGCCGUGGUCCGAUCACAGUUCACUACAGCCUUGAACUCCUGGGCUCAAGUGAUCUUCCUGCCUUAGACUCCCAAGUAGCUGAGAUUAUAGGCACACGCCACCACACCCAGCUAAUUUAAAAAUAUUUUUGUAGAGACCAGGUCUCACUAUGUUGCCUGGUUUGGUAUCAAACUCCUGGCCUUAAGGGAUCCUCCUGCCUCGGCCUCCCAAAGUGCCAGGAUUAUAGGUGUGAGCCAUCAUGCCCAGCCAGAGCACCAGAAAUAGCUCCCAACUGUAGAAGGAGCCUCCCUGUAGCGCUGUUGGCUCCCUCCUUCCUGUGGAGUCUCCACAGCAGUCCCUCCCCACCAUGAGGCCAGAGAGGCUAACAGCUUUGCUGUCACCCAACAGAAAUGCUUUAAGUACUGACCACUGCUGGAGGGAAAGGCUACCGCUAACACUUGGGAUGUUUUCUGACAGCCUCUGAAACUUCUACGAACUGCUGAGGCAUAGGAUCCUCUCCUAAAAUUUCUCCCAGAUCUUAACGUCAGGGCUGUCUGGCCCUUUCAUGAGUAUGUGGGUUAUAGUCUCUGGCAGGCACUUGUGAAGAGUGUGACUGAUUGACACUUUUUUGCCUUGGUUGCUGGGAAGCUCAGAUCUCCCCUCUGCAUGUCCCUUGCUUAGGACCUCCCAUGGUGUACUUGGAGUUGGGACCUCACCUGGCUCUCCCUUAUCUUUCCGGCUGCCAUUUUUUCCCCUUUCUAACUUUCUUUCCCAUACACUUAUUUGAAAUAUUAUCUCACGGUAACGAAAUAAAGUGUCUGUCACCUCCUGCUGUGUUGUCAUCUUGCAUGAGCUAUCUAAGUUCUCUGUUCUUCAGUUUCUGCAUCUGUAAAACGAUGACAAUGACAGAGCCAACCUCGCUUUGAGGAUCACAUGAGUUAAUAAAGGCCUGGCACACAGUUAGCACUCAAUAAAUGUUAGUUAUGAUUUUUAUUA